AAGGCUGGUUUGUUCAUUGAUAAGGGUGUUAAAACUACUAAUGCUAGUGCUGAUGAUCCCAGAGAAUAUCUUUGCUUGGACAACAAUGCAAGGUUUCGUCCUCAUCAAGAUGCAGACCCUGAAAAACCCCGAGUUGCUGCCCUGAUUGAUGGAUUAAUCUCUUUCAGAAACAAUGAUCAUGGUGCUUGGGUCAGGGGAGGAGAUAUCCUCAUUCAGAACUCUGGGUUUGCAGACAAUGGAAUUGGUUUGACAUUUGCCAGGUGAGUAUUUAAUUACUGCUAUGUUUUCUUAAAAGUUUAGAAAAACAUCAUACA